UGAAACUCAGUUCUUUCUGAACCCUAGCCAUUGCACUUCAAAAAAAAAUAUUUAGUUUCCUUUUUUGAAUUUUUUUGGAUUGUUCUCCAAGUUUCGAAUUUUGCAUUUAAAAAAAAAUUAAUUAGUUUUGCUUUCUUUCCAAGUUUUCGAAAAAAAAAAUAAGAAAAAUAUUCCCACUUUCCUUUUUAAUCUUGAUUCGAUUUUUCAACUUUAAAUCUGCAUUUAUG
rnacentral:lncRNA from 1 species